GCGGAGGCCGCGUGGCGCCGCGUCACUUACCGGCCAGGGCGCGGGGCGGUCGCCGAGUCCUCGGGGCGCGCAGCCCGGUGUGCUCGCUCCGCCAUGAUUGCUUUGUUUCGCUAAUUGAACCGCCGCUCGUCCCGCGCUCGCGCUUCUCGCUGCCCGGUCUCCGCGCUCGCUCGCUUACUCGCUCGCUCGCGCCGAUUAGUCUGUCCCCCUUGGUCUGUCCGGCUCGGCUCGGGCUAGCUAUGGAAGGCGAGGCUGCGGGUGCACGGUGAGGGGCGUGCGGUGGUGCGCUUGUAAAUACAGAGGACUCAAAAACAGAGAGAGAUCACCGGUGAGUUUGGACGUUUACAGGUAACACACAGAUUGUGCGGGGUGAGGGGCCACCAUAUCCAAUCGAGAUGAAUGAAUGAUGAGUGUUUUCUUGAAAUCGACAAGAAAAGAGAAGGACCCCACGCACACAUUACUUCGAUCCAUUCUUUCAGAAAGAUUCAUCCAAAUCUGGAAUCACUUUUCUGCUCUACGAUGGUCUUCAUCCAUCUUACCAUAGCUUUGCCUGUUUCCCCAAAUUCUACCUUAAAUCUGACUUUAUGAAACACAGCUUCAUGCUCUCUUACUUCCCCCAAAGAAGUUUCUCCUCCUGACAUCAUAUGUGAAGUGCUCGAAUAUCAGACACAUUAUAUAUUGAAGAUUUGUAUUUCACAAAGGUUGAUCUUAAGGCACCAUGAUUUUAGAAAUUAGAUGAAAAUAUUAUGUUGAUUCAUCCAGUGACUGAUAGUGUGUGCAGAAUUACUGGGUCGUUAUGCUAGGAACUUUACCUAAUACAGCAUUUUUUUACUUUGUUUAUUAUUUAUUUAUUUACUUAUUUGUUUAUUUAUUUAUUGGCACCACGUUUCCUGUCUACUCUGAGGUUGACUUCACUGUCUCUGAACCAAGGUCUGUUUUGGAAGUUGAAAGAAGAAAAAUACGCUAAGAAACCCAUUCCAAACUCUCAACUCUCCUUCAUGACUCAAGGUUGGACCAUAUGAGUAAGCCAAAUAUGUGUUUUCCCAUCCUUAUGAGGGAAGAGCAGUCUCUACAGCUAAUAACAUGUUACACACCACAUGUUCCCUGGGCAUACGCUGAAAAUGUUUGGAAGAGUCAAAGAGCUAGAUUCUCCUGUUAAGGACUUAGACUGUCACAUUGGUGUUCCCUCAUGAUCACCAGUGGUCUGCUUGUGGAAAUUGUUCAAACCUCUAGGAGAUGUGGCGCCAUCUGAAAUUUAAUAAGCACCUCUACAUGGUCCUCUUGGAACCCUGAUGCUGUGUGCUAAGCAAGUCUAAACUAACCCACUGUGAGUAGGAGAACCAAGGCACUGCAGCCCAGCAGAGGGCUGAAUGUAAAGACGAGAGAGGUCUCAGAUGUCACUACAUGAUGCAGAGUAAGUUGUCCAGUGAACUCAUGGAAACGGGAUGACAAAUCACUGCUUCAGAACAAGUUUUAGGCUCAUCUGCUAUGCAGUAAUUACUGGUGACAAUUCUCUCCCAUUUCAAGACGUGAAGAUGAUGGGGUCAGAUCGUGCGAGGGAAGGACAGGAAAUGGUGACCAAGCUCAUACUAUCCUUGCGCUAGUGAGCUAACAGCCAUGCUAGGGAGGAGACCUAAGUCAUCACUUUAGAAUUAAGAACUGUGGGACGUUCUGGCUUGCUAACCUAACGGGACAUCUCUAUCAUCACAAGGCACUGGAACUAUCCAGAAACAAAGGCUGACAAGAUCAUAAUACCCAGAGGUGUGGGAGGACUGGCACAAACCAGUGCUCGGGACAUUUCAGGACCACUGUACUCAUGAACUCUCGGUAUAGAGAGGUGUGCACCAGAUCUCACCCCUGAAUGAGGAAUAGACAGCUAGUGACUGCUGGGAAAGUAGGAGCCAUUUUCUUUAACCAUGAGGCUCUGGUGUUGAGCAUGCCUCAAUGGAUGGCCCCACACCCAUGAAUUGGACUCCUUGGAUUAUUAAAAAAAAAUUAAUGUGUGAUGUUUUGUAUUUAUUUGAACAUUUUAACAAUAAAAUUUAUUUGUAGCAAGGACUUGUAUUUGGAUCUAAGACUAAUUGGCAGAAGGAGCGGGUGGGAAAUAAAUGGAAAUGCAUUGUAUGGAUUAUGAAAUUCUCAAAGAAUUAAUAAUUUUUUUCCAAACAGAAUCGUGAACUAGGGGAGGGUAAUAGCCAGAAAAUUACUUGUUGCACAAGCGUCAAAGCCUGAGUUCAAUUUGUCCACACCCACGGACACAAUCCUCUAGGAGCGCAUCCUGCAUAAAGUGUGUCUCGGGACAGUAACAAUGCAUGCAUGCAGACUCCCUGAAAAAGAGGAAACGGCCCAGGUGAAAAU
rnacentral:lncRNA from 1 species